rnacentral:rRNA from 1 species
GACGAACGCUGGCGGCGUGCCUAAUACAUGCAAGUAGAACGCACAGUUUAUACCGUAGCUUGCUACACCAUAGACUGUGAGUUGCGAACGGGUGAGUAACGCGUAGGUAACCUGCCUGGUAGCGGGGGAUAACUAUUGGAAACGAUAGCUAAUACCGCAUAAUAUUGAUUAUUGCAUGAUAAUUGAUUGAAAGAUGCUAUUGCAUCACUACCAGAUGGACCUGCGUUGUAUUAGCUAGUAGGUGAGGUAACGGCUCACCUAGGCGACGAUACAUAGCCGACCUGAGAGGGUGAUCGGCAACACUGGGACUGAGACACGGCCCAGACUCCUACGGGAGGCAGCAGUAGGGAAUCUUCGGCAAUGGACGAAAGUCUGACCGAGCAACGCCGCGUGAGUGAAGAAGGUUGUCGGAUCGUAAAGCUCUGUUGUAAGAGAAGAACGGGUGUGAGAGUGGAAAGUUCACACUGUGACGGUAUCUGACCAGAAAGGGACGGCUAACUACGUG